rnacentral:rRNA from 1 species
UACGUAGGGUCCAAGCGUUGUCCGGAUUUAUUGGGCGUAAAGAGCUCGUAGGCGGUUUGUUGCGUCGGCUGUGAAAUCCCGAGGCUCAACCUCGGGUCUGCAGUCGAUACGAGCAAACUAGAGUGUUGCAGGGGAGACUGGAAUUCCUGGUGUAGCGGUGAAAUGCGCAGAUAUCAGGAGGAACACCGGUGGCGAAGGCGGGUCUCUGGGCAACAACUGACGCUGAGGAGCGAAAGCGUGGGGAGCGAACAGG